AUGUCAACAGUGGCUCUGGCUCUUAAGGAAACACUGCACACCUCACCGGGAAAAGGCAGUAUGGUACAGUGGGUAACAGGCUGGACUCCGGAGCACGACGCCGCAGGUUCAAACCCCACCGCCGCCGCUCAGCCUCUGAAACCCACCCUGGGUUGUGUGCACCCUUUCCUAUUUUCAUCCUUAAAACCGGAGAAACAAGAAAUAGGGGCCCCCGACAGAACUGCAGUAAGGAUUAAGAACAGCAAUAGACGUGACCCACGGGAAGGUGUGUUGUUACGUGGCAACAUGUUUUCUUCCGAGGCGAGAGGGCAGGGGCGUCACGGCCUCGGCCUCCCGGCGAGCCAUCCGCGGCCCCCGAGCCCAAGCAUCCUAACCCUAACACGACGGCCGUGCCUAGUCCGACCCCUCCUGGCCCCGAACGGCACGGCCGCCCAGCAGUUACUAAAGGAUCGAGGAAUGCCGGGCCGGGCCGGGGCCGAUCGGGUUCAGCUGCCGGGAGGGCGCCCCGAGAGUCUCCGGGACCCUCCCCCUGCUCCUCGGGGAGGGCCGCGGGCCCCGAGCCGCCCCCAGCAGCGGCCAGGCCUCCUGGCGGGUGGUCAGGGCCCCCUCCUCAAGCCCACCCAGCCCGCCCGUGCAGCAGCCACGCCGGCCCGGCACCCGCUGCCCUCGGACAGGUGUUCCCGGCGCAGGAGAGCAGCCCGGGCGGGGCAGGGCGGCUGGACCCUGAGUCACCGCCGGCAGCUUCGGCCGCCGCCUCCCGGACUGCCGGGCCAGGAGGUGGGAGCUGGCGGGCAGCCGGGGUCGGCGGGGCGAGCGGUCCGUCCCUCCGGUCGGAAUCCCUGGAGGCCCCCAGCCCCUCGGCGCGACGCGGGCCUCCCCGGCCUACUCGGGAGCCCAACGCGGGAGCCCACCUCGCGAGUUCGGCUCGGCUCACGCCGGGCCUGGGCGCAGGCGACGCGGCACUCACCUCUCCGCGGGGGCCGCGCGCGCGUUCGGCGGCAACGGCCCAGGGAGCCGCGGGCAGCAGAGGUGGCGGCGGCCGGGCUCUCUUCUCAGGGAGCGGCCAUGUUGCUGGUGGAGAAACUCCUGGCGACACGUGGGGGGAGCGGGCCGGCCCUGGCGCUUCCUCUUUCCCACAAUGCUCCGCCCCGGCGGCGCGGGCCCGCCCCCACGCCGCGCCGCUCUAGGAAGCCCACAGCCGGUCGGGCAGUAGGGGGCGCUGCCGCUCUCGCUAAACGGAGCUGCGCCAACGCGGCAGAGGCCGAAAAAAAUAUAUUCUGGCAGCGGUGGGAUUCGAACCCACGCCCCCGAAGAGACUGGAGCCUUAAUCCAGCGCCUUAG
rnacentral:lncRNA from 1 species